UAAGCACGUGAAAGCGUGUGACCCUUCGGGGAACUUCCACAGGUGCUGCAUGGCCGUCGUCAGCUCGUGUCGUGAGAUGUUGGGUUAAGUCCCGCAACGAGCGCAACCCUUGUGAAUAGUUGCCAGCACGUCAUGGUGGGAACUCUAUUCAGACUGCCCAGAUCAACUGGGAGGAAGGUGGGGACGACGUCAGGUCAGUAUGGCCCUUACGCCUUGGGCUGCACACGUACUACAAUGCUCAGUACAAUGAGAACCGAGACCGCGAGGUGGAGGAAAUCUACAAAACUGGGCUCAGUUCGGAUUGGAGGCUGCAACUCGCCUCCAUGAAGCUGGAAUCGCUAGUAAUGGCACAUCAGAUACGGUGCCGUGAAUACGUUCCCGGGUCUUGUACACACCGCCCGUC
rnacentral:rRNA from 1 species